AAAAUGCGGUGCUGACAAGCAACAGAGCUUUGUGCCUCUCGUGAGAAAUAAAACUCUUCACCAAAGUAUGAGAAGGACGAAGGAGACAUGAUAAAACACGUCAAACGAGACUUGACUCUGAAGAAGGCUUAAAUGGUUAAAGGGACUUUUCUAGCAGAGAGAAGGUUUCUUUUCUUUUCUUUUUUUUUUUUUUUUUGCUCCUCAUUAAAGCUGCCUGAGAAGGUCACCUGCAGACAGACAACCCAGUUUGUUGUGAAGCUACAAGUGCUUUUUGGACAAUGACGGCUUACAAAAAUCUGGCAUUUGCAUACACAGAAGUACAUGGAUGCUUGUGAGGUUUUUUUUUUUUCCCCGCCUCUAUCCACUAUUCAGAAAGAAAAAUAGCUCCCCCAGGAUUACAGCAUGCCAAAUGAUUCAUCUGAGCUAUUAUUGCCUGCAGCACAAAGUGUUGCUUUAUUGUUUGUGAUAUGUUGACACACAAUGGUGGAAAAGCGAGUUACAAUCCAAGCAGCAAAUUCUGCACAGGCUUGACCCUGAACUACUGCAGUCAGUGAGAGAUGACUUCCACAGGAGGAAGAGCAGCCUGGACGGGGAAAGAAAUUCUGUGCUUUUCAGGUCAAAUGAAAUGCUUUGUGUUAAGCAAACUGAAGAUUUAGGAAGGGAAGGGGGAUAGAAGAGGAAAAGGCAGGAAGGCCAGAAAGAAUCGUUUCAACUGGAAGAAACUGCAGAAUUUUCCAUCUGACGUGAUCUGUAACAAUUUCUGAAAUCAGUUAUCUACUCAGGCCUUCUCCUGCAAAAGAAGAUGGCUACUAAGAACAUCAUCAGAAAGAGCACACUUUCACGAAUGUAAUUCUACAGCUCCCAGGAAUAAAGACGACGACAGCCUGACUCCGAAACGUUACUUUUCCGAAGCCUGUAUUAAUUUUGGUAUGAUUUUGCAUUAUCCAUUUCGUACCGUUACAAAGAGAAAUUAACCAGCCCAUUUAAAAGGUACAUAAAGGUGAUUGCAAACAUGC